UCGCGCGGGCUAUAAGGAAUACCAACUGGAGUGUUGGCACGUAGCGGGGAGUCGUGGACCGACCGCGGACCAGCGCGGUACCGGCGUUAGACGAGAUGAGGCCCUUGGAUAAGGGACGGACAGCGGGAUGCUGUUCCGUUGUGGGGGUCGGCGGACAGACCGACAGUGAACAAAUAUGGCGUAUCCAACGCCAGGAACAAGCUGGGGCGAACGGUCGUAGGCUGCACAGGACUUGGAAGGAACAGGAGGUGCACCUGCGGAUCCGGCUCGAAGAACAAUGUUGGCGUGGGGCGUUGGGGGUGAAAGUCCAAG